AGUGAACGCUGGCGGUAGGCCUAACGCAUGCAAGUCGAACGGCAGCACAGUAAGAGCUUGCUCUUACGGGUGGCGAGUGGCGGACGGGUGAGGAAUACAUCGGAAUCUACUUUUUCGUGGGGGAUAACGUAGGGAAACUUACGCUAAUACCGCAUACGACCUACGGGUGAAAGCAGGGGAUCUUCGGACCUUGCGCGAUUGAAUGAGCCGAUGUCGGAUUAGCUAGUUGGCGGGGUAAAGGCCCACCAAGGCGACGAUCCGUAGCUGGUCUGAGAGGAUGAUCAGCCACACUGGAACUGAGACACGGUCCAGACUCCUACGGGAGGCAGCAGUGGGGAAUAUUGGACAAUGGGCGCAAGCCUGAUCCAGCUAUACCGCGUGGGUGAAGAAGGCCUUCGGGUUGUAAAGCCCUUUUGUUGGGAAAGAAAAGCAGCAGGUUAAUACCCCGCUGUUCUGACGGUACCCAAAGAAUAAGCACCGGCUAACUUCGUG
rnacentral:rRNA from 1 species